rnacentral:rRNA from 1 species
GCAACCCUUGUUAAUAGUUGCCAGCAUUAAGUUGGGCACUCUAUUGAGACUGCCGGUGACAAACCGGAGGAAGGUGGGGAUGACGUCAAGUCAUCAUGCCCCUUAUGACCUGGGCUACACACGUGCUACAAUGGGCAGUACAACGAGAAGCGAACCUGUGAAGGCAAGCGGAUCUCUUAAAGCUGUUCUCAGUUCGGACUGUAGGCUGCAACUCGCCUACACGAAGCUGGAAUCGCUAGUAAUCGCGGAUCAGCACGCCGCGGUGAAUACGUUCCCGGGCCUUGUACACACCGCCCGUCACACCAUGAGAGUUUGUAACACCCAAAGUCGGUGAGGUAACCUUUGGAGCCAGCCGCCUAAGGUGGGACAGAUGAUUAGGGUGAAGUCGUAACAAGGUAGCCGUAGGAGAACCUGCGGCUGGAUCACCU